GUAAAAACAUGUCUAUGGGAAAAUCACAUCCAAACAUGGAGGGCCUUUCAGUCAGCCGCUUGUUACCGAACGAGCAGACACUUGAAGCAGUCCCUGUCGUCGCUGCCAGGCCAUUUGCCCAGUGGUAGGAAUGGCUACCAACAACCAUCCAGCCUUGGAAACAUUUUGUUCCCGGGAAGCUGCAAAACCUGCCAAAGAAGAUGGGUACUGGGGCAAGUUUCCCCAGGAUUGAUGCCAACCAAAAGUGAAGCUCCUGUGUUUGAUCUGAACCCAACCACAGUCUCUUGCUGAGGUUAGAAGCACCCAAAAUUCAGCCCAUGCUGGCCCAAAGAGUUUACAAAUCUCAGGGGCCUUGAGGCAAGCCAGGAGGAAAUUCUGAUGUUUGGUGAAUGCCUGUGCUAUGGAGGAACCUUCUGGCUGAUUUUUAGAGAGAAUAAAAGCAACGAGGUGCUCUGAAGAAAGGAGCAGUAAAUGCUGUGUAGCAGGUUUUUAGGUGACUGCAUUAAAACCAGGAUUCAGUAGCCUGUAAAGAUACCAAAGGCAGUGAUGUGAUGUCAGUCCCUCCAGCUCACCUUUCUCCUGGGGGUCUGUGCAGCUCCCUCUGGUCCCUCAGCUGCUGGAGGUCAUCUUGGAGUCUACAAACUCCCAACACCACCACUCACUCUAUAAAUCUACCACAGAUAACAGAGAGAGCCCAAAACCAACUUAGAGAUUUAGAUGAAACUGACUGAACCUGGAGUCCCAGUGAGACAAGCAAAGUUGAAAGCUGGUAAGUGCACUGAGACAUAUCACAGUGGGCAGGGAAAUGUCCAUAUGUGGGAGUACCAGCAACAUGGGCAGCACCACAGCAGACCCAACAUGCCAAAAAUUGCUAUCAUAUGCCAGUCACAGGUUUAAUUAAAACACAGCUCCAUAGAGAUAUUCACAAUCAGUAAGGUUCCCUGCAGCAGAUAAGUAGUGUUUUGGAGUUUCCUCUGCAAGAGUACUUGAUGUGGGGAUGCUUGCUGUGUGGGGAAUUACCCUGACUUCAGUCUUGCAGCAACAUGAUGGUAGACUGAAACAGCUUCCCUCUUGUGGAAGAAUUCCUGCUUUCUUGGAUCGCUUGAGGCAAUAAAUAGUGACUUUGAACAUUACACCUUUAAGAUUGCUAAAUAUGUGGGAAAAUUACAAAUAUACAGUUUUUAUCCUAUGCAAGUCCUCCAAGGCUGUAUGUCAUGCAUUUACUGAAUAACAAGGGGGAGAAUACUCACUUGCUAUGGCCCCUUGCUGUGUGCAAAAAGUUAUGUCACAUGGUUCUGUGGGCACGGUGGGGAUGGGUUGAUGGUUGGACUAGAUGGUCUAAGUAGUCUUUUCCAACUCAUAUGAUUCUAUUCUAUCAUUCUGUGACACUAUUUGUGCAGACAUGGAUUCACACAAAUGUCGCUGAAAUAGAAACUCUCCAGCUAGGAACCUGAAGGGAGUCAGUAACCAGCAAGUCACCCAAGCCACACAGCAGUGAGUUUGCUGCAUGAGACAUGCCUACUCAGAGCUUAAAGGCAGAUAUUUGGAUGUUAGGAAAUUUAAACCUGGAUAGGAAGGGGGUUUUUUGCUAUAUGACAAAUGUGCUGAUAAAUGUGUGAUAAGUUACUGAAACUCCUCAGUCGUGACAGCAAGUUCAAUAUCCCAGACAGAAACAAGGAUUUAUCAGUCAGGAAAACCAAUAGCUCAUCCUUUCCAUCACUUCUGAAUGAUCUAUACUUGGACUGCUUCCUGCUCUGCUGACUUGUCCCAUCCCUGAAGGUGGCUGCAAGUGCAGCUGUUCAAACAGUGUGCAGCAACCCUAAACCAUGCAAGGAAUGGGAGAGAAUUCGUUUUAUUACUCUCAUAUUCCUGCAAAGGAAUUCUAGAAAGUUGAAAUUACUUUGCAUCCCUGCAAUAUUGUCUCUCUUCUGACAGAAAAUAUGCUAAGGUAUCUUCAGUGCCCAAGUAUAUUUGUUUGUUUUAUGAUGACAGAAGCAAGGCCCACAAUUGCAAGCUUCAUAGAAAGAGCAAUAUUUACUGGUCAGCUUGUUUUCUUUAUGAAUUGAGAAGUGUUUUGAAUGAGAUGGCAUAAGGUAAUGGGAGGUUUGAAAAAAAAUAUAUCUUGAAAUCUACCCUAUUAACAAAUUAACAAAUGCAGAGAAGGGGGAAAGAAUUUCUGUGGACAUCUUGAAAAAAUUCCUUUAGUUGAAUGCCAUUUAUGGCUCUUCUAUCCACAUACGACUUGAUUUCCUUUCCUACAACAUUUUUUUUUUAGUCCCUAAAGAAGAAGAAUUCUCAUUCCAGUAGGAUUAUUUUCAAGAAAACAUUCCCAGUUUGAAGAUACCUUAGCAGUAUUUAACUACUAAAGGAAAUUGUUCUUCUGGUCGUGUUAAAGAGCCAGAACUGUCUUGGGAGGUACACUACAAAGGGGGUCUGGAUAAUAGAUAACACAUCUAGAUCACACUGGAAAGAUUUGCAAUCAGUUUAGUUGAGACUAUAGCCUUUGCUAGUGUAGGCACAAGACACAAUUAUAAGCCCUAUUGAAAUAUUCAGAUCUUUAAAAUGCUGGAUUAGUAAAGUCAGCAACCCGAGCACAUAUUAGAAAUAUGAUUUUCAGACCUUUACGUGCCAGGAGUUGUUUUUUACUAACCAGGUCCAUUGGACCUCAUGUGUGCUUCAAGCCCUGCCUUCAGAAGAGCAGCCAGAUGUACAACAGAGAGAAGUCCUGGCUGACCACACUGCACACUCCUUUGCCUUUGACUGUUCCUCCCAUAGCUCCCACCUCCCUGUCUGUUUGGUCUCUCAUUCACUUACUUUCACUAAGUACUCCCAAUGUAGUUUGAGGCCUGUGGACAGUACUCUAUUACAUGUGUAUAUAUAUAUAUAACAUUUUCAGAGGAAUAACAAUUCAUUUGCAAGCGGGAAUGACCUGUUUUUCCUCUUUGAGCUCCCUACAACAAGAGCUGCUAACGAGUCCACUGGGAACUAACUGAUCUUGCCUUUCUCUUUCUCUCUCCCCUUGACCUUCCUGGGGCUCCAUAAUUUCUAGGGGUGAGGUUCCUAGUCAUGCUGAACCUUACUUUCUGAGACAUACAAUUCUGCAUAUUCUUUCUCUGCUGCUUUGAAACUUGUAGCAGAAAAACAUGUCCUAGCAGGUCUAAUAAUCCAAAUUAAUUCCUCUUAAUUCCUCUAGUUCUUUAGGUCAUCUACGUUGGUCCAUCAGGAAACUGUGGAACACAAACCAAACAUGGUUUAGUGGGGAAGACCAGAUCGAACAAAUAUCUUUCCUGUUAGGACACUCAUGGCAUCAUUUAUCACCUGCAGUGAGCCCACCUCAGCUUCCCAGCUCUGUGCAAUGUGUGCUGUUCUUCCUGUCUGCAGAAUGCCUAAGUUGAGAAUAACUCAGGCACGGCCACAGGGACAGCUGGAAAACUCUUGAAAGGAAGCAUAAGUUUUUCAGUUCUUUCUGUGCAAUUUGUUCAGCUUCGGAAAGGAGAGCAACAUGCAGUGGCAAGUCUAACUGUGAAUGGUUUUAGGGAGGGUGAAUCUGUGGGUGUAGCUGUCAUCCAGUGUACCCGAGUUCACAGCACAGAAGGAAAGAAGGAAAAAAAGAAAGAGAAUGAAAGAAGGAAUGAGAAAGUAAGAGAGGGGAUCUUCUAUAAGUUGUUUAUUAUUUAUGACUUUCCACACAGCCUAACUGUCCUCUCUGAAUCAAAAUAUGAGAUUUAACAUUAAAAAAUGUACUUUAACAUGGCAAAUACCAUAAUGGUGGAAAUACAAUCACAGCUGUCAGUAAAGUGAAAUGGCUCAAGGGCAGGCAGCCCUGCUCUGCAGACAAACACCAAGCAACACUCCAUCCGAAAUGCUAAUAGACCGUACAAAGUCUUAUGAAUAUCUCUGGAUAACUUCUGCUCUCAGAGAGUUCAAACCACAUCUGACCUCUGCUGGCCACUUUUUUUCUAGUCUCUCCAUUUGCAGAAAACCCACUCCAGCUCCCCAGCUGUGUCUGAGUGUGGCAGAUAUUUUGCUGGUGACUAUUUUGGUUCUCUUUCAGUAGAGGAAUUAUACCAAGAUUUUAAGCAACUGAAGAAUAUGACCAAGUUUUCCAACUGUUUUGCAAGCCCUGAGCAGACACCAACACUUUAGAAGGUAACAUCUGGCAGAGUGAGGUUUAUGACCAGUGUCCCAACAGAUCCCCAGGCAGUGUGGCCUCAUUUCACUCCUCUGCCUGGGAACACCUCAGGUGAGGUUUCCCACGACCAACACACCUUACUGCCACCCAGCCACCGGGGCAGCUACGACUGCACUGACAGAAGAAAUCCACGCUUUGCUUAUGGUAUACCUUGUGGCCAGAUUAUUAUUAACAGAGAUUUUCACGUCCAUACUGUUUAAUUAUGUUUGUUUAAACCAGAAUUGACAUUACCUGGUUGUUUUAAACUUACAGUGAGUGCAGAGUAUCCACAAGGCAUCGUGCCAUCAGUGAGGGAUGACUUUUCCUUUUCGACUGCAAAACUGAGUCAGAAACACGCAUGACAGGUAGCUUAUUGGUUCAGUACAUCACUGAAAGGCAUCCACAUCCCGCAGCAAUGGGUGUGUUAUGGGGACAGCACAAAUAAACCACGGCAAAAUGCAUAUUGCAGAGGUACGGGUUCCCACGGGCACCCUAAUGUUGUGCUCAGCCCUCACCAAGAGCCCAUGUCCAGGUAAGCCAUCCCUCCCACUGAGAGCUGUGGGGUGUCCACCCCACUCCUUGGGAAUAAUAACCAUAUGGUUUGGGGUAAACAUCUGACAGCUACAUCAUCGUUGAUCACAGUCUCUCAAAGUCAUUUCAGACAUCAUUGUUAGCAUUUCUCAGAAUGCCCAAGCCCUGUUUAAUGGCAGAGUUUGUGAGCUCUUGGGCUGUAAUAUAAAGCGUUUUGUGCAGAGUAAUCAGCAGCUUCACAUCGACUUCAAUGUACUUUCCUCUUUCAUGCAUCUAUAUGUAUUACAGGUGGUUUCACACUGUAAUUCUUGGCUAGCCACAAACGCCUGUAGACAUUUAGAUGCCUGUCCCCUGUUAAAAAGGCCACAACACUGAUUUCUCAGUGUUAUGGCAUCAAUGCAACCUCCUAUUUGCAUGGAAAGAAUCACUGACACAAAAUACCAGCACAUGACAAAUCCUAAAAUCUUUUCCUGAGCACAAGCUCAUCAAAAUCAACAAGAGCAAAGAUGUAAGGAUCACUCACAUAAAUGUUUCAGGUCUGUUCUUUCAAUCUACAUCUCUUAAAACAAAGAAAACCUUUUAAAAAUGUGUCAGAUCAGUUUGCUUUGUGUCUUUUCUUGCCAGCAUGAAGAAUGCCUUGAUGGUUGCACAAUCACGGUCCUUCAAAGAGUAGCUGUGAUUUUGCUUAAAAAAAAAAAAUCAUAAUGCUGGCUUAGACAUGUAGACUACACUUACCUUUGGGAUGAAUGAGAUACUUUCUGCCUAUCAAGCUGAAAUCCUUGCCAUAGUUCUCAGAUUUUAAU